GCUGAGAUGGCCGAGUGGUCUAAGGCGCGUGACUUAAGCAGAUUAGCGAGUGCUUAUAUCUCGUGGCGCAAGCCGCGUGGGUUCGAACCCCACUCUCAGCA
rfam:Moniliophthora roreri MCA 2997 sctg_0200_0002, whole genome shotgun sequence.